UAUAGUGCCAAACUAUGGGUAUGUCUACACUGGCAAGCUUCUGCGCAACAAAUUAUACCACUUUUAUUAAAGUGCUGGAAUUAAACCGCUAUUGCGUGUCCACAUUGUG